CCGGAAGCAUGGCGGCCACCCAAACGCCAGGCGAUGGAAGCCGUUAGGGCGUGGCGGAACCGGAAGGCGGCCUAGGGACGCACGCAGGCUCGGCUGUCUCUUUAGGCCACGGAGCUGCGUAGAUCCGGAACCCUGGGCGACUGAUCUGUCCCCAUUGGGCGAGACCUACCUAGACAAAGGCCUUAACAUACCGACAAAGGCCUUAAGGGGCCUGGGAGGAAGUCGUACAAAAUAAAUGUCUUCUGGAGAUGAUUUUUGGAAAUGGAGUUAUUAGACAGCCCCUGGAAGCGAUACAUCCACGUUUGUUCAGUGGGUUAGAUGACAUGGAGCUGGAAGACCUGAGAAGGAAGAGAAGAAGGUUCUAUGACAGACUGGUCAUAUUUAGAAGACACUUUCAUAUUCUAUCCAUAGUUUUGUAUGCAUUUUAUUCCUCACUACCUUAUAUAUAGUUGACAAUGCUAAGCUUUUUUGAAAUGUCUGUUUUUUUAGAUGUUCUGAAGUGCCUGAUAUAUGUUAAAAUUAAAGGUAAUAAAAACACAUUUUGUAAGUAUCUUUUUGUUACAAUUCAUAGAAAAUGUUGCUUUGGUGGGGAAUGGCCAAAUCACCUGUUGAGUAAUACUCAUUGUGUUUGUGCGCUGGUUCAGGGGAGGAGGGAAGAGGGGAAAGUGCAGAGAGCUCUAUGCCACCCUGCCUACAGCGGGGCAAGAUGAAUCAUCUAUUUCUGUGCAUUUUGUUUUACUUAUCUGUGUAUGUAGUGUACAUAAAGGACAAAUGAGCCCUAAUUUACAACAUCUAGUCUUUCUAGAUGCUAAGGAGGUUGCCAGUGUCUGACAAAAGUAAAGUUAGUAAACUAAUAUAUUUUGUACAUUUUGUUUUACAAGUCCUAGGAAAGAUUGUCCUCUGAAAAUUUGAG
rnacentral:lncRNA from 1 species